rnacentral:rRNA from 1 species
GGCGCAAGCCUGACGCAGCCAUGCCGCGUGAAUGAUGAAGGUCUUAGGAUUGUAAAAUUCUUUCACCGGGGACGAUAAUGACGGUACCCGGAGAAGAAGCCCCGGCUAACUUCGUGCCAGCAGCCGCGGUAAUACUAAGGGGGCUAGCGUUGCUCGGAAUUACUGGGCGUAAAGGGAGCGUAAGCGGACAUUUAAGUCAGGGGUGAAAUCCCGGGGCUCAACCUCGGAAUUGCCUUUGAUACUGGGUGUCUUGAGUAUGAUAGAGGUGUGUGGAACUCCGAGUGUAGAGGUGAAAUUCAUAUAUAUUCGGAAGAACACCAGUGGCGAAGGCGACACACUGGCUCAUUACUGACGCUGAGGCUCGAAAGCGUGGGGAGCAAACAGGAUUAGAUACCCUGGUAGUCCACGCCAUAAACGAUGAUUGCUAGUUUGUCGGGAUGCAUGCAUUUCGGUGACGCAGCUAACGCAUUAAGCAAUCCGCCUGGGGAGUACGGUCGCAAGAUUAAAACUCAAAUG